AGGGGAGUAGCUCAGCUGGUAGAGUACCGGUCUCCAAAACCGUGGGUCGCGAGUUCGAAUCUUGUCUCCCCUGCCA
rnacentral:tRNA from 3 species